rnacentral:rRNA from 1 species
CAAACGGGUGAGUAACGCGUAGGCAACCUGCCCUUAGGAUGGGGACAACGCCCGAAAGGCCGCUAAUACCGAUGGACUCUACUUUCGCAUGAAAGAAAGAGGAAAGAUGGUGCAAGCCAUCGCCGAAGGAAGGCCUGCAUCUGAUAGCCAGUUGGUGAGGUAACGGCCCACCAAAGCGACGAUCAGUAGCCGGUCUGAGAGGAUGAACGGCCACAAUGGGACUGAGACACGGCCCAUACUCCUACGGGAGGCAGCAGUGGGGAAUCUUCCGCAAUGGGCGAAAGCCUGACGGAGCAACGCCGCGUGAGUGAAGAAGGUCUUCGGAUCGUAAAGCUCUGUUGUUGGGGACGAAAGGAAAAGGGAGGAAAUGCCCUUUUUAAGACGGUACCCGACGAGCAAGCCACG